rnacentral:misc_RNA from 1 species
GGCCAACUGACUGAGUGUUUAACAUGUGGGUCACAAUAUUGAUUCUCAAGCCUAACUUCAGCUACUGCCUGUUCAUCUUCAACCAUUACAAUUUGUGUCUCUCCAAGUGGUACAUCAUCAUUGCAGGAAUCAAGUGGCUCAACCUCCAAACUCUCAGUCGUCCACAUAUCACUUACCAUGCCCUGUUCAACAAUAUGGGAAGGUUCAGUUUCCACGUCU